ACAGAGGGUGCAAACGUUGUUCGGAAUCACUGGGCGUAAAGCGCGUGUAGGCGGCCAGGCAAGUCGGAUGUGAAAUCCCGCGGCUCAACCGUGGAAGAGCAUUCGAAACUGCUUGGCUAGAGUCCUGGAGAGGAAGGUGGAAUACUCGGUGGAGGCGUGAUAUUCGUAAAUACCUAGUGGAACACCGGUGGCGAAGGCGGCCCAACGGGAAGGAGCUGACAGUGAGACACGAAAGCUGGGGAAGCAAACAG
rnacentral:rRNA from 1 species